rnacentral:rRNA from 1 species
UACAGAGGUCUCAAGUGUUGUUCGGACUCAUUGGGCGUAAAGGGUGCGUAGGUGGCGCCGUAAGUCGGGUGUGAAAUUUCGGAGCUUAACUCCGAAACUGCAUUCGAUACUGCGGUGCUUGAGGACUGGAGAGGAGACUGGAAUUCAUGGUGUAGCAGUGAAAUGCGUAGAGAUCAUGAGGAAGACCAGUGGCGAAGGCGGGUCUCUGGACAGUUCCUGACACUGAGGCACGAAGGCCAGGGGAGCAAACGGG